rnacentral:rRNA from 1 species
UCUCCUACGGGGCGCAGCAGUGAGGAAUAUUGGUCAAUGGUCGGGAGACUGAACCAGCCAAGCCGCGUGAGGGAUGAAGGUACAGAGUAUCGUAAACCUCUUUUGUCAGGGAACAAAGGCGGGGACGUGUCCCCGGAUGAGUGUACCUGAAGAAAAAGCAUCGGCUAACUCCGUGCCAGCAGCCGCGGUAAUACGGAGGAUGCGAGCGUUAUCCGGAUUCACUGGGCGUAAAGGGAGCGCAGGCGGCAUGGCAAGUCUGAUGUGAAAACCCGGGGCCCAACCCCGGGAGUGCAUUGGAAACUGCC